CCUACGGGAGGCAGCAGUGAGGAAUAUUGGUCAAUGGACGAGAGUCUGAACCAGCCAAGUAGCGUGAAGGAUGACUGCCCUAUGGGUUGUAAACUUCUUUUAUAUGGGAAUAAAAUGUUCCACGUGUGGGAUGUUGUAUGUACCAUAUGAAUAAGGAUCGGCUAACUCCGUGCCAGCAGCCGCGGUAAUACGGAGGAUCCGAGCGUUAUCCGGAUUUAUUGGGUUUAAAGGGAGCGUAGGUGGGUUGUUAAGUCAGUUGUGAAAGUUUGCGGCUCAACCGUAAAAUUGCAGUUGAAACUGGCAGUCUUGAGUACAGUAGAGGUGGGCGGAAUUCGUGGUGUAGCGGUGAAAUGCUUAGAUAUCACGAAGAACACCGAUUGCGAAGGCAGCUCACUGGACUGCAACUGACACUGAGGCUCGAAAGUGUGGGUAUCAAACAGGAUUAGAUACCCCUGUAGUC
rnacentral:rRNA from 1 species